rnacentral:misc_RNA from 1 species
UCGAACAACAAGCCUAUGAUGCCGGGGCUCAUACCCCGGAUGUUCAGGGCUUUAACGGGUGUGUUAGCGGCCACCAGAGUAACCCUCUGGGCGGUUUAGGGUUCAAUCGAACCCUUUCACGCGCACACUACCGAUAUCCUUAUUCUACUCGUACCUCUCGUUCUCCUUCGGUGGGGCAACCUGCCGUUGGAAAUACAAAACUCUUUUUUGCAUCUAGCAUUACCUGUUCUGAUACAAAUAAUCGUUA